rnacentral:rRNA from 1 species
GACGAACGCUGGCGGCGUGCUUAACACAUGCAAGUCGAACGGAAAGGCCCUGCUUUUGUGGGGUGCUCGAGUGGCGAACGGGUGAGUAACACGUGAGUAACCUGCCCUUGACUUUGGGAUAACUUCAGGAAACUGGGGCUAAUACCGGAUAGGAGCUCCUGCUGCAUGGUGGGGGUUGGAAAGUUUCGGCGGUUGGGGAUGGAAUCGAGGCUUAUCAGCUUGUUGGUGGGGUAGUGGCUUACCAAGGCUUUGACGGGUAGCCGGCCUGAGAGGGUGACCGGCCACAUUGGGACUGAGAUACGGCCCAGACUCCUACGGGAGGCAGCAGUGGGGAAUAUUGCACAAUGGGCGGAAGCCUGAUGCAGCAACGCCGCGUGCGGGAUGACGGCCUUCGGGUUGUAAACCGCUUUCGCCUGUGACGAAGCGUGAGUGACGGUAAUGGGUAAAGAAGCACCGGCUAACUACGUG